GUCACUGUGGGGCAAUCGGUUGACGCGUUCGGCUGUUAACCGAAAGGUUGGUGGUUCAAGCCCACCCAGGGACG
rnacentral:tRNA from 1 species